rnacentral:rRNA from 1 species
UACGUAGGGUGCGAGCGUUAAUCGGAAUUACUGGGCGUAAAGCGUGCGCAGGCGGCGCGUUAAGACAGGUGUGAAAGCCCCGAGCUUAACUUGGGAAUUGCGCUUGUGACUGGCGUGCUGGAGUGUGGCAGAGGGAGGUGGAAUUCCACGUGUAGCAGUGAAAUGCGUAGAGAUCCGGAGGAACACCAGAGGCGAAGGCGGCGCGCUGGGCUGCAACUGACGCUGAACCACGAAAGCCAGGGUAGCGAACGGG